rnacentral:rRNA from 1 species
AUACGGAGGGUGCAAGCGUUAAUCGGAAUUACUAGGCGUAAAGCGUACGUAGGCGGUUCGUUAAGUUAGAUGUGAAAGCCCCGGGCUUAACCUGGGAACUGCAUUUAAAACUGGCGGACUAGAGUUGAGUAGAGGGGAGUGGAAUUUCAGGUGUAGCGGUGAAAUGCGUAGAGAUCUGAAGGAACACCAGUGGCGAAGGCGACUCCCUGGACUCGAACUGACGCUGAGGUACGAAAGCGUGGGUAGCAAACGGGAUUAGAAACCCGAGUAGUCC